rnacentral:snRNA from 1 species
AUUUCGAUCCUUCUCAGCAA